UACGUAGGGUGCAAGCGUUAAUCGGAAUUACUGGGCGUAAAGCGUGCGCAGGCGGCUUUGCAAGACAGAUGUGAAAUCCCCGGGCUUAACCUGGGAACUGCAUUUGUGACUGCAUGGCUGGAGUGCGGCAGAGGGGGAUGGAAUUCCGCGUGUAGCAGUGAAAUGCGUAGAGAUGCGGAGGAACACCGAUGGCGAAGGCAGCCCCCUGGGCCGACAUUGACGCUCAGGCACGAAAGCGUGGGGAGCAAACAGG
rnacentral:rRNA from 1 species